rnacentral:rRNA from 1 species
UACGUAGGGUGCGAGCGUUAAUCGGAAUUACUGGGCGUAAAGCGUGCGCAGGCGGUUUUGUAAGCCAGAUGUGAAAGCCCCGGGCUUAACCUGGGAAUGGCAUUUGGGACUGCAUCGCUGGAGUGCGGCAGAGGGGGAUGGAAUUCCAGGUGUAGCAGUGAAAUGCGUAGAGAUCUGGAGGAACACCGAUGGCGAAGGCAGCCCCCUGGGCCAGCACUGACGCUGAUACACGAAAGCGUGGGGAGCAAACAGG